GUGAGUUGUAUAUUACCCGCUAACCGAUUCAGUUGUUUGGAAUUGCUUCGUGCUGUAAUAUAAUAGGCUAUCUUUAAAAAAAGGAACGGGAAAUCGGGAAACGGAGGAAUGGGAAAUAUCAGGAAAUGGGGGAAUAUCGGGAAAUGGUGGAAUAUCGGGGAAUACCGUAUUUCCCUUGGGGGAAUAUUAUAAAGACCAAAGUUUUUAUCAAUUUUUUACUGAUGACGAGCCAAAAAGUCGAUAAUAUAGUUAUAAUUAUAUGUUUUUGAUAAUAGUAACAAG